UUUGUGAUUCAUGACUGGGGUGAAGUCGUAACAAGGUAACCGUAGGGGAACCUGCGGUUGGAUCACCUCCUUA
rnacentral:rRNA from 10 species